GACGAACGCUGGCGGCGUGCUUAACACAUGCAAGUCGAACGGAAAGGCCCUGCUUUUGUGGGGUGCUCGAGUGGCGAACGGGUGAGUAACACGUGAGUAACCUGCCCUUGACUUUGGGAUAACUUCAGGAAACUGGGGCUAAUACCGGAUAGGAGCUCCUGCUGCAUGGUGGGGGUUGGAAAGUUUCGGCGGUUGGGGAUGGACUCGCGGCUUAUCAGCUUGUUGGUGGGGUAGUGGCUUACCAAGGUUUUGACGGGUAGCCGGCCUGAGAGGGUGACCGGCCACAUUGGGACUGAGAUACGGCCCAGACUCCUACGGGAGGCAGCAGUGGGGAAUAUUGCACAAUGGGCGGAAGCCUGAUGCAGCAACGCCGCGUGCGGGAUGACGGCCUUCGGGUUGUAAACCGAUUUCGCCUGUGACGAAGCGUGAGUGACGGUAAUGGGUAAAGAAGCACCGGCUAACUACGUG
rnacentral:rRNA from 1 species